GAAACGACUGCUAAGACUGGAUAGGAAAUUAAGAGGCAUCUUUUAAUUUUUAAAAGACCUUUUUCGGAAGGUAUGCUUAAAGAGGGGCUUGCGCCACAUUAGUUAGUUGGUAAGGUAAAGGCUUACCAAGACGAUGAUGUGUAGCUGGACUGAGAGGUUGAACAGCCACAUUGGGACUGAGACACGGCCCAAACUCCUACGGGAGGCAGCAGUAAGGAAUUUUUGGCAAUGGAGGAAACUCUGACCGAGCGACGCCGCGUGAACAAUGAAGUACUUCGGUAUGUAAAGUUCUUUUAUUGAAAAAGAAAAAAUAGUGGAAAAACUAUCUUGACAUUAUUCAAUGAAUAAGCCCCGGCUAAUUAUGUGCCAGCAGCCGCGGUAACACAUAAGGGGCGAGCGUUAUCCGGAAUUAUUGGGCGUAAAGGGUGCGUAGGCGGUUUGAUAAGUCUAUAGUUUAAAUGCAGCGCUUAACGCUGUAGCGCUAUAGAAACUGUCUGACUAGAGUUAGAUAGAGGCAAGCGGAAUUCCAUGUGUAGCGGUAAAAUGCGUAAAUAUAUGGAGGAACACCAGAGGCGUAGGCGGCUUGCUGGGUCUUAACUGACGCUGAGGCACGAAAGCGUGGGGAGCAAACAGGAUUAGAUACCCUGGUAGUCCACGCCGUAAACGAUGAGUACUAAGUGUCGGGUUUCGGCUCGGUACUGAAGUUAACACAUUAAGUACUCCGCCUGAGUAGUACGUACGCAAGUAUGAAACUUAAAGGAAUUGACGGGACCCCGCACAAGCGGUGGAUCAUGUUGUUUAAUUCGAAGAUACACGAAAAACCUUACCAGGUCUUGACAUAAUUUUGCGACAUUAUAGAAAUAUAAUGAAGGUUAUCAGAAUUACAGGUGGUGCAUGGUUGUCGUCAGCUCGUGUCGUGAGAUGUUAGGUUAAGUCCUAAAACGAGCGCAACCCUUGUCGUUAGUUGCGACCACGUAAUGGUGAGCACUUUAGCGAGACUGCCAAUGAAAAAUUGGAGGAAGGUGAGGAUUACGUCAAAUCAUCAUGCCCCUUAUGAUCUGGGCUACAAACGUGAUACAAUGGCUGUUACAAAGAGUAGCUACAACGUGAGUUUUUAGCCAAUCUCAAGAAAACAGUCUCAGUUCGGAUUGAAGUCUGCAACUCGACUUCAUGAAGUUGGAAUCGCUAGUAAUCGCGAAUCAGCAUGUCGCGGUGAAUACGUUGACGGGGUUUGUACACACCGCCCGUCA
rnacentral:rRNA from 1 species